GAUGAACGCUAGCGGCAGGCUUAAUACAUGCAAGUCGAGGGGCAUCAAGGUACACGAAAGUGUAUUGUUGGCGACCGGCGGACGGGUGAGUAAUAGGUAGGUAACCUACCUCAUACUGAGGCAUAGCUGGGAGAAAUUCCAGGUAAUUCCUCAUGAGGUUAUAUGACACAUGUGAUAUAAUCAAAGGUAUCGCAAGGUACUGGUAUGAGAUGGGCUUACUGACCAUUAGCUAGUUGGUGAGAUAAGAGCUCACCAAGGCGAAGAUGGUUAGGGGUUUUGAGAGAGAGAUCCCCCACAUUGGAACUGAGAUACGGUCCAGACUCCUACGGGAGGCAGCAAGUAGGGAAUAUUGGGCAAUGGGCGGAAGCCUGACCCAGCCAUGCCGCGUGAAGGAAGACGGCCUUAUGGGUUGUAAACUUCUUUAACUAUGCGACUAACUAGAUUUACGAGAUAAUUCUAUAGAAUGUACAUAGCAAAAAGCACCGACUAA
rnacentral:rRNA from 1 species